GGUUAAGCGACUAAGCGUACACGGUGGAUGCCCUGGCAGUCAGAGGCGAUGAAGGGCGUGCUAAUCUGCGAUAAGCGCCGGUAAGGUGAUAUGAACCGUUAUAACCGGCGAUACCCGAAUGGGGAAACCCAGUGUGAUUCGUCACACUAUCAUUAACUGAAUCCAUAGGUUAAUGAGGCGAACCGGGGGAACUGAAACAUCUAAGUACCCCGAGGAAAAGAAAUCAACCGAGAUUCCCCCAGUAGCGGCGAGCGAACGGGGAGGAGCCCAGAGCCUGAAUCAGCAUGUGUGUUAGUGGAAGCGUCUGGAAAGGUGCGCGAUACAGGGUGACAGCCCCGUACACAAAAGCGCAUGUGCUGUGAGCUCGAUGAGUAGGGCGGGACACGUGGUAUCCUGUCUGAAUAUGGGGGACCAUCCUCCAAGGCUAAAUACUCCUGACUGACCGAUAGUGAACCAGUACCGUGAGGGAAAGGCGAAAAGAACCCCGGCGAGGGGAGUGAAAAAGAACCUGAAACCGUGUACGUACAAGCAGUGGGAGCACAGGUUUACCUGUGUGACUGCGUACCUUUUGUAUAAUGGGUCAGCGACUUAUAUUCUGUAGCAAGGUUAACCGUAUAGGGGAGCCGGAGGGAAACCGAGUCUUAAUUGGGCGUUAAGUUGCAGGGUAUAGACCCGAAACCCGGUGAUCUAGCCAUGGGCAGGUUGAAGGUUGGGUAACACUAACUGGAGGACCGAACCGACUAAUGUUGAAAAAUUAGCGGAUGACCUGUGGCUGGGGGUGAAAGGCCAAUCAAACCGGGAGAUAGCUGGUUCUCCCCGAAAGCUAUUUAGGUAGCGCCUCGUGAAUUCAUCUCCGGGGGUAGAGCACUGUUUCGGCUAGGGGGCCAUCCCGGCUUACCAACCCGAUGCAAACUGCGAAUACCGGAGAAUGUUAUCACGGGAGACACACGGCGGGUGCUAACGUCCGUCGUGAAGAGGGAAACAACCCAGACCGCCAGCUAAGGUCCCAAAGUCAUGGUUAAGUGGGAAACGAUGUGGGAAGGCCCAGACAGCCAGGAUGUUGGCUUAGAAGCAGCCAUCAUUUAAAGAAAGCGUAAUAGCUCACUGGUCGAGUCGGCCUGCGCGGAAGAUGUAACGGGGCUAAACCAUGCACCGAAGCUGCGGCAGCGAACGUAUCACCCAAGACAACUUUACGGAGUUGACGAUUGACGGAGCGAAGCGACGUCAAAGCGUUCAUUAAAGUCGAGUUGGCUUAGGGAUACGUUCGUUGGGUAGGGGAGCGUUCUGUAAGCCUGUGAAGGUGUGUCGUGAGGCAUGCUGGAGGUAUCAGAAGUGCGAAUGCUGACAUAAGUAACGAUAAAGCGGGUGAAAAGCCCGCUCGCCGGAAGACCAAGGGUUCCUGUCCAACGUUAAUCGGGGCAGGGUGAGUCGACCCCUAAGGCGAGGCCGAAAGGCGUAGUCGAUGGGAAACGGGUUAAUAUUCCCGUACUUGGUGUUACUGCGAAGGGGGGACGGAGAAGGCUAUGUUGGCCGGGCGACGGUUGUCCCGGUUUAAGCGUGUAGGUGUGUGUUCCAGGUAAAUCCGGUUCACUUUAACACUGAGGCGUGACGACGAGGCACUACGGUGCUGAAGCAACAAAUGCCCUGCUUCCAGGAAAAGCCUCUAAGCAUCAGGUAACACGAAAUCGUACCCCAAACCGACACAGGUGGUCAGGUAGAGAAUACCAAGGCGCUUGAGAGAACUCGGGUGAAGGAACUAGGCAAAAUGGUGCCGUAACUUCGGGAGAAGGCACGCUGACACGUAGGUGAAGUGAUUUACUCAUGGAGCUGAAGUCAGUCGAAGAUACCAGCUGGCUGCAACUGUUUAUUAAAAACACAGCACUGUGCAAACACGAAAGUGGACGUAUACGGUGUGACGCCUGCCCGGUGCCGGAAGGUUAAUUGAUGGGGUCAGCGUAAGCGAAGCUCCUGAUCGAAGCCCCGGUAAACGGCGGCCGUAACUAUAACGGUCCUAAGGUAGCGAAAUUCCUUGUCGGGUAAGUUCCGACCUGCACGAAUGGCGUAAUGAUGGCCAGGCUGUCUCCACCCGAGACUCAGUGAAAUUGAACUCGCUGUGAAGAUGCAGUGUACCCGCGGCAAGACGGAAAGACCCCGUGAACCUUUACUAUAGCUUGACACUGAACAUUGAGCCUUGAUGUGUAGGAUAGGUGGGAGGCUUUGAAGUGUGGACGCCAGUCUGCAUGGAGCCGACCUUGAAAUACCACCCUUUAAUGUUUGAUGUUCUAACGUGGACCCGUAAUCCGGGUUGCGGACAGUGUCUGGUGGGUAGUUUGACUGGGGCGGUCUCCUCCUAAAGAGUAACGGAGGAGCACGAAGGUUGGCUAAUCCUGGUCGGACAUCAGGAGGUUAGUGCAAUGGCAUAAGCCAGCUUGACUGCGAGCGUGACGGCGCGAGCAGGUGCGAAAGCAGGUCAUAGUGAUCCGGUGGUUCUGAAUGGAAGGGCCAUCGCUCAACGGAUAAAAGGUACUCCGGGGAUAACAGGCUGAUACCGCCCAAGAGUUCAUAUCGACGGCGGUGUUUGGCACCUCGAUGUCGGCUCAUCACAUCCUGGGGCUGAAGUAGGUCCCAAGGGUAUGGCUGUUCGCCAUUUAAAGUGGUACGCGAGCUGGGUUUAGAACGUCGUGAGACAGUUCGGUCCCUAUCUGCCGUGGGCGCUGGAGAACUGAGGGGGGCUGCUCCUAGUACGAGAGGACCGGAGUGGACGCAUCACUGGUGUUCGGGUUGUCAUGCCAAUGGCACUGCCCGGUAGCUAAAUGCGGAAGAGAUAAGUGCUGAAAGCAUCUAAGCACGAAACUUGCCCCGAGAUGAGUUCUCCCUGAGACUUAGAGUCUCCUGAAGGAACGUUGAAGACGACGACGUUGAUAGGCCGGGUGUGUAAGCGCAGCGAUGCGUUGAGCUAACCGGUACUAAUGAACCGUGAGGCUUAACCUU
rnacentral:rRNA from 1 species